rnacentral:rRNA from 1 species
CAGCCGCCACGGGAAUACGGAGGGGGCUAGCGUUGUUCGGAAUUACUGGGCGUAAAGCGCGCGUAGGCGGUUACUCAAGUCAGAGGUGAAAGCCCGGGGCUCAACCCCGGAACUGCCUUUGAAACUAGGUGACUAGAAUCUUGGAGAGGUCAGUGGAAUUCCGAGUGUAGAGGUGAAAUUCGUAGAUAUUCGCAGGAACACCAGUGGCGAAGGCGGCUGACUGGUCCACAACUGACGCUGAGGUGCGAAAGCGUGGGGAGCAAACAGGAUUAGAUACCCCCGUAGUCCCUGUCUCUUAUAC